AGAGUUUGAUCCUGGCUCAGAGCGAACGUUAGCGGCGGGCCUAACACAUGCAAGUCGAGCGGGCGUCGCAAGACGUCAGCGGCAGACGGGAGAGUAACACGUGGGAACGUACCCUUCGGUUCGGAAUAACCCAGGGAAACUUGGGCUAAUACCGGAUACGUCCGUAAGGAGAAAGAUUUAUCGCCGAAGGAUCGGCCCGCGUCCGAUUAGCUAGUUGGUGGGGUAAUGGCCCACCAAGGCGACGAUCGGUAGCUGGUCUGAGAGGAUGAUCAGCCUCACUGGGACUGAGACACGGCCCAGACUCCUACGGGAGGCAGCAGUGGGGAAUAUUGGACAAUGGGCGCAAGCCUGAUCCAGCCAUGCCGCGUGGGUGAUGAAGGCCCUAGGGUUGUAAAGCCCUUUCGGCGGGGAAGAUAAUGACGGUACCCGCAGAAGAAGCCCCGGCUAACUUCGUGCCAGCAGCCGCGGUAAU
rnacentral:rRNA from 1 species